GGCAGGGUGUUUGGAGAUUGUAGCAGGUUAUGGGCCUUUAAGUGACCUCAGUUUCUCCAAAGAGCCCAGACUGGAUGAAGCAUGAAUUUAGCCCAGCAGUAGUCCCACAGUUCUAUGAGAAACUGUUGCCCUCACCACCUGACUUAACUCUGGCCUCUCUGAUAUGCAGUGUAAAGUUGAGGAAAUGCACCUGGAGUACCUCUAACGAGUGCUCAUGAGGGGCUAUCAUCACGAUUAUUAAUUAUUAACAAGAGCCAGGCAGCCUGAAAUGGUGAGUAAUGCUAUCACCUCCCCCAGGGUUCUCACACCUGCGCUGGCCCCAUGGCACACCCCACUCCCUCAUUAACAGAGCCAGGAUGCUAGGAAGCUGGGUGCUUGGAGGAACAAUCCUUUAACCUUGGCAGGAGGAGGGGCGCUUGCCUCGGUGGCUCCCGGGAGCCCAGGCCUGGCUGUGCUCCCUCCCACUCUGCGUGGGCCGUCAGCCCUCAGCAGAGGAGCCCGGUUUAAUCACAUGCCAGUUUCCCCAUUCAUCUUCAGUGCUAUCCGAAGGCUCAUCUUCUCCCACCCUCUGGCGUCAUGGUGAUUGAUGAUCUUGCACCAGCCCUGCUGCAGGGUUAGCACAGCUCGCAGUGGGUGCCCAGCUUCUCCGGGCUCUUUGCAGUCUGGGCCUGACUUGGGCUGGGAUCAUGUUUCUUUUAAGGAGCCCUGUUAGGGAUGAAAUCAUGUCCCCCUCCCCCUUUCCCAAAUUCAUAUGUUGAAGCCAUAACCCACAAAUUGACUGUAUUUGACUAUCAGGUUUUUAGGAGGUAAUUAAGGUUGAAUGAGGUCACAAGGGUGGGGCCCUGAUCCCAUAGGCCUGGUGUCUUUAUAAGAAAAUGAAAGGCAGUGUGCUCUCUCUGUGCACACACAGAGCCAGGGCCAUGUGAGGACACAGUGAGGAGGCAGCUACCUGCAAGGCAGGAAGGGAGUCCUCACCAGAAACCAAAUUUUCUAGCACCUCAGUCUUGGUCUUCUAGCCCCCAGAACUGUGAGAAAGUAAAUGUCUGUUGGUUAAGCCCCUUGCCUGUGUGUUUUGCUGUAGCAGCAUACGCGGACUAAAACGAGCCCUGCUGCCUCCAGCUUUUGAGAGGGAGGAGGAUGAGGUUUGGAAAGAUGCCCUCCAGUGGAAGCAUUUCCUUGGGCCAGUGCUGAAAAGGACCCCUGAGCAGGUGAGUUGAC
rnacentral:lncRNA from 1 species